UACGAAGGGGGCGAGCGUUGUUCGGAAUUACUGGGCGUAAAGGGCGCGCAGGCGGCCUUAGAAGUCAGAUGUGAAAGCCCCGGGCUCAACCUGGGAAUGGCAUUUGAUACUCUGAGGCUGGAGUACGGGAGAGGAGAGUGGAAUUCCCAGUGUAGAGGUGAAAUUCGUAGAUAUUGGGAAGAACACCGGUGGCGAAGGCGGCUCUCUGGACCGUAACUGACGCUGAGGCGCGAAAGCGUGGG
rnacentral:rRNA from 1 species